rnacentral:rRNA from 1 species
GACGAACGCUGGCGGCGUGCUUAACACAUGCAAGUCGAACGGUGAAGCGCCUUCCUUUUUGGUGGGUGUGGAUGAGUGGCGAACGGGUGAGUAACACGUGAGUAACCUGCCCCCUUCUUCUGGAUAACCGCAUGAAAGUGUGGCUAAUACGUGAUAUUCUGGGUCUGUCGCAUGAUGGGUCUGGGAAAGAUAUUGUUUCGGUGGGGGAUGGGCUCGCGGCCUAUCAGCUUGUUGGUGGGGUGAUGGCCUACCAAGGCGGUGACGGGUAGCCGGCCUGAGAGGGUGGACGGUCACACUGGGACUGAGACACGGCCAAGACUCCUACGGGAGGCAGCAGUGGGGAAUAUUGCACAAUGGGCGCAAGGCUGAUGCAGCGACGCCGCGUGAGGGAUGGAGGCCUGCGGGUUGUGAACCUCUUUCGCCAGUGAAGCAGGCCUGCCUCGUUUGUGGGUGGGUUGACGGUAGCUGGAUAAGAAGCGCCGGCUAACUACGUG